UACGUAGGGUGCAAGCGUUGUCCGGAAUUAUUGGGCGUAAAGAGCUCGUAGGCGGUCUGUUGCGUCGGCUGUGAAAACCCGGGGCUCAACUCCGGGCCUGCAGCCGAUACGGGCAGACUAGAGUUCGGCAGGGGAGACUGGAAUUCCUGGUGUAGCGGUGAAAUGCGCAGAUAUCAGGAGGAACACCCGUAGCGAAGGCGGCACUCUGGGCCGGAACUGACGCUGAGGAGCGAAAGCGUGGGGAGCAAACAGG
rnacentral:rRNA from 1 species